CUCAUAAAAAUGCAUUUCAUAAUAUAUAUAUAUAUAUAUAUAUAUAUAUAUAGAGAGAGAGAGAGAGAGAGAGAGAGAGAGAGAAUUCUCGGUCAUUACACAACCUAUAAACUCCCACAACCAAGCAUGCAUCUCUACCUAGAAUCAUAUAUACUAGCUUAACUUACAAAAUUAUAAUUAGGUUAUGAACCUCUUGAAUGCUUUCUUUCUUCUAGCAAUAAAGCUUAAGUACUUCUCCACCUUGAUCCUUCCUUCUUGAAUUCCACCAAAAGCAAGAAUUUCACUAGGUUUCUUCUUUUCUCUCCAUUUCUCUCUAAUUCUCUUAAGUCUUCAACACUUAGGAAUUUCAAUCAAAUGAAG
rnacentral:lncRNA from 1 species